rnacentral:misc_RNA from 1 species
GAACUCUUCCAUGUAUUCAUGGCCAACAUGUUCCACCAUUUCACAGGAUAAGAUUCUAUCAUAUUUGUAAGUUUCUGGCAAUUCACGAUAGUCACAGAGAAGAAAUCUGACACGAUCCUGGAGGUUAGCUUCCUUAACUUUCAUUUCUGCAAAUUUUAGCUGCUCCUUCGAUAGACUGAUGCCAGUGUAGUUGCAUCCUGUUUGCUUGACAACUUCAAUAGCCAACCCUCCCCAACCACAACCGAUCUCAA